CAACACCUCGCAAAUAGCAUUGGUCGUUUUAAAUGCUACAAGUGAAUUUAGCCAUCGCAUCACAACAUUAUAAUGUAUGGUUGAAGGUUUGUUGGUUUGUUGGUCAUUCAGGAAUAUUUAGUCUGACCGGCAUGGAUGGUCUGAGUUAGGUAGAUCAGCACUUUGAGAAGUACCAGAGACAAAAGCUUAGAGAUGUUGGCAGCGAUAGUGCACGGUUUGUUCAUAAGUGCUAGUCUGGAACCUUUGGUGUAAUGCAACACCUUACUGUCUCGCUUUAAGAAAGGAAACCUCCCAAUCCAAAAGGUUUUUGCCAAGAAAAGAAGCCACAUCUUUCAGCAGAAGAAAAGGCCUGCCGUAAGCAUUUUCUUUCCUUCUCAGUCUUGCUGCUGUGGCUUUCCCCACCCAAAAGCUACUAAAGCUGAAUAAACAGCAGUGAACAAGGGCUUGCUGAGUUUCUGGAAAUAUGCAGAGGAAAUGGAUCUCUCGUUUCGACAAAUGGCCCACUUUUGAGAGGAGUCAAAUGAGCCUGCAGGGACCGAACAGCAGCUCCCUGACAGGAAGUGUGAACCCCACACUGAGACUGACACGAGAACAGUUACAACAUCUGAACAAAUACUGACAGGGUCACGGGGGCCUGAUCUGGGUUCUUGCUCUCUGUUUGGGAAAGGACAGUGUUCCCCAGCUAAAGUCACAUCCCAAGGGACCAGCGCUUUAGAUAAACAUGCAUCUGAUGCCAGCACUAUUACUCCAGCAUGUGUCAUAAAACCAAUGGGUCUGUUAUGGUACAAGAUCACCAGAAAUGACAAACCAUCAGAAACCCUGAGGAAAACAAAAACAAGAAGACAUAAACAAUAUUCUUUCAACAGGAACUCCAACUUUCCUUAUCAUCCCUGGUACUUGUCUGUGUCUUUAUAGGCUAGAACAGAUGGGAGAAACAAUAAGAUAAUGUUCAUUUGUGCAUAUUUCUUCAAAUAUAAACUGUUUGAUUUGUAUUAGUUGGAUUGGAGAAAGCUGAAUAUUAAAGGGUCUCAGAUAACACUUCCUCUCUCAUCUCUACCCAGCCUGUCACUAUAAAUUUGUACUAUGGGGGAUUGUGGACUAAUCCAAAAUGAUCCGCAUAUAAACAGUGUUUAAUAAGAGCUGAACAAAGACAAGUAUCCAGCCAAGUAUCAGUUCACACUGUCAGAAACCUUUUUUCUAGUGGGAAAAGUAUGAGAAAACCAUUUUAGUCUGUCUCAAUGAGUUACUUGACAAACGACCAACCAGAUGGUGGGCAAUAUUUUCAGAUGGACUGCAUUUCCAAUCUUCUAAGAUAUUUGUUUUCCAAAAUACAAACUAUUGUCUUUCUCCCUCUAAUGAUAUCUAAAAUGUCCUAAUCGUGUUUGUGGAUCUGCAUGUUUACAAGCCUCAGAGGUAUUUAUGUCAUUACUUAUUUGAUAAAAAUAUUUAUCCAUAGAUCUUUUGAGCUUGUUUAUAUUAUAAGCUGCACUGUAUCCAUUACCACAAACCUCAUUAAAUGGAAAAAAAUGAAAGUUUUUUGAAGCUCUUACACCAUGUCCUAACCAGAUGCGACGCGAUAAGCAAUUUGACUGUCCACACUAGACGUAACGCGACAAUUUGAAGCGAUAAAAUCAAGCAAAAACCACAGCCAAUUAGAAGAGAGUGUGGGCGGGCUCUCUCGGCAAGAGCACAGCAGACACGAUGAAACGGGUUAGUACAUAGUAAAAUUCAUAAACAUUACACAAUUUAAACAUUUAAAAUACAUACGGAGUGACUGAAACAAUCUUUGUCAUGGAAUACCCUUGUUUGUUCGCAUUGAGUUGAGAGUUUGAACGUUCUUUUGUGCUCAGAUUAACAUGGAAAAGAUACCUUUUUAAGUGUGUCGCAGCAUCACAUAGCGUCUGGUUAGGACACGGUGUUACACUGUGAUGUAAAUGAUAACAGGAAGUGACAUAAUAGGGGUCUGUCUGUCAUAAACAUAAGACUAUUUCCCCGCCAUUGACAGAAUUUUCCGGCAAUCCAUGUUUUGACUGUUAUAUGGUAGGGAUACUAUUAUGCAUCUUCUGAAAGAGUACACAAUCUCCAGAUCAAAACACAGGCAAAACAGAAGCAGAAGCAAGUGAAGCAAUUGCUUAAGCACAUGUAAGCUAACAUUACCAUCAAACAUUAAAAAGCAUACAAAUCAAAACGCGCACAUGUAAGCUAAAGCUACCAUCGAACAUUAAACAGCAUACAAAUCAAAACGUCUAACAUUACUGAAUGAAAUGUCAAACCCACAACAAGGUACAGGACUGUGAAGCUUUGGGGGUGUUGAUGGACUCGAUGUACUCCAUCUAUUUUUUUAUCAUCAUUAUGAAUCUGAU